UAAUUUGCGUCAAUUGCAAUUCGUUAUCUACAUCUCUGUCCUAAGUUCCUGCAAACUGCAUAUCAUGGAAAUCCGUCGUUUCUUUGUUCAGUUUAUCUCCUUGGAAGAUGUCGGGGGCCCAAACACAAGCUAUCUGCUACAAUAAAAUAAGACCACAGCACGUCCAGCUCAAACGAUACACACACAUUCCAGUCUUGCAUUAGAUGACGAACCCAAUGCUUUAUCGUAGUUCCAGGAAUAGAAAGCUGAACACGCCGUAAGUAGGGCGGCAGGAAGUGAGACGGUAUAAAUACGGACACCGUGGGCUCAUCACGUCAGAAGUCAGAUCACGGAGAAGAUUGAAUCAACACAACCCAACAUCUCUUCAGAUUCGGGAAACAUGAUUGGUCCACAGAUUUUAUCGUUCGAUAAAGCCAUUUGCGUCGCCUGUAGGCACGGAUGUAGCCCGACGUUUGCUGCAGCAGAACCUGCGCGUCCUGCGGGGCGUGUCCCGGGACCUGGAGCAGCGGGAGAAGCGCCUGGUGAGGAUGAGAACGAGGCUGCACGGGCUGGAGAGCUCAGGAGCCCUGCUGAAUUUGAGACAGCGAUCUGCCACGAGACAGCAAUAAGCUCCGAGAAAAAAAUCCGCUUCCAAUUCAAAUGACGAGAGGAUGGUGAUAAUGACUCAAGAAGGCCCUUAUUACUUAGUUGGAUUCAUAUCCGUUUGAAGCUUUUAUGCAAUAGACAGCAAUAGGAAUGUUAAAUCCUCAACUAUUGGAAAAGAUAAGUUGACGAUAAGUUUGAAUCAUUACUGUAACUUUCUGGACUGCACAGACUGAAGCACCACAUGGUUAAGCGUGUAAAUAUCACCAUUGCCCUGUCGAGUCGAUGUCUACCUGUAAUUUGAGAUUGUACACGUAGAUCAUAUAUCUGAGUCAGACUGCGUGCCUUUAAAGCUCACCCACCAUGCCAGAUUAUCCAUCACUGUCGUCUGCUGCGGCAGACGCACUUUGUCACCUACUGUACUGUGAUACCAGCUCUAUGCCGACAGCUGUGCGUCACUAUACCUACAUUAAUGCCGACAACACGCGAAGGGCGACUGGUGAAGUAUAUGGGUGGGAGUGUCAGGUACAGUUACGAGGUUUACUUUGCUUGUUUAUAUUGCUGGAUACACAUGUACGGAUAUCCCACUCAUCUGCUGUCAUUGGUCUAAGUAUUUUAUAAAAUGUGUAGGAAUAAAUAAUGAAAUCUUUUUCAAAAAUAAUGUUUACGCAAUA